GGCAAUUAACUGUAAGAGUGACAACAACUAACACUUUUCGUACGUCAUUGCUAGUCCUUAUCGAUGUACCCAUUUUUAGAAGUCGUGAAGAGAGUCCCAAGAUCUAAAAUCCUGUCAAUCGACCAACGCAUUUCAAGCAUAAACUAUUUUUUUACAGGAAACAAUAUAAUUCAAGGAAUGGCUGACCAGCUUAUGAUAAAAAAUCAUCGGUGAACCAAAGUGGCACAUACGAAUGAAGCUCCUCAACAAUCAAGAGUAGUUCUUAAACUGAUGUGCUAUACAUGAUCUCCACUAUUCAAGAGAGAGCAAAGCUAAAAGCAGGAGAUACGUUACGAUCCAAAACUCGGAUUAUAUCCGCUCUACCACACAGAAGCAGAGAGAAAACAGAGUGUAGGACGAGACGGAUUUACAUAUAGACAAAGUUCCCACAGCAAAAUGGCAGGCAGUGAUUUGAGAGGCUUUGAUAUGGCAAAUGGCAGUGCUGGAAAUGGAACUGGAAACAUGCCCCCCAUGUAUCCAGAAGGGCUUAAGUCUGUUGAAAGCAUCCUAAGAGUGGUUUCGAUUUGUUCCUAUGUAGUUAUACUUGUGCUAUCAACCUUGGGUAAUACUGGUGUCAUUGGUAUAGUCUUGACGAACAAAACUAUGCAAACCAAGGCAAAUGUUUUGAUAGUGACCAUGGCCGUGUCUGACCUCAUCGCCACUCUAUUCACAAUACCAAGAAUGAUUGAUGUGGAGGUUACGCAAAGCUACGAAUGGAAGAUACCUGAAGUCAUAGCAAAGCUGGUAUGCAAGAUAAAUCCAUUCCUGCGAGAGUC